rnacentral:misc_RNA from 1 species
GAUGAAGAACGCAGCGAAAUGCGAUACUUGGUGUGAAUUGCAGAAUCCCGUGAACCAUCGAGUCUUUGAACGCAAGUUGCGCCCGCUAGUAUUCUGGCGGGCAUGCCUGUUCGAGCGUCAUUUCAACCAUCAAGCCUCAGGCUUGUGUUGGAGCCCUGCGGCUGCCGCAGCCUCCCAAAAACAGUGGCGGGCUCGCUAUCACACCGAGUGCAGUAGUUUACUCUUCGCUCAGGGCGUGUGGCGGGUGCUAGCCGUGAAACCCCCUACUUCUCAAGGUUGACCUCGGAUCAGGUAGGAAUACCCGCUGAACUUAAGCAUAUCAAUAAGCGGAGGA